rnacentral:miRNA from 1 species
GUCUAUGGCCAUGCCACCCUGAACAAGCCUGAUCCCAUCUGAUCUCAGAAGCUAAGCAGGGUCGGGCCUGGUUAGUACUUGGAUGGG